rnacentral:rRNA from 1 species
UACGUAGGUGGCAAGCGUUGUCCGGAUUUACUGGGCGUAAAGGGCGUGCAGGCGGUUUGUUAAGUGCAGAGUGAAAGCUCCCGGCUCAACUGGGAGAGGUCUUUGCAUACUGGCAAACUCGAGGGAGGCAGAGGAAAGUGGAAUUCCCGGUGUAGUGGUGAUAUGCGUAGAUAUCGGGAGGAACACCGGUGGCGAAGGCGGCGACCUGGUCCGAUACUGACGCUGAGGCGCGAAAGCGUGGGGAGCAAACAGG